rnacentral:rRNA from 1 species
GAAAUUUCCCCUCUGGGGCUCUCUGGUGAUCAUGAUAACUUCUCGAAUCGCAUGGCCUUGCGCCGGCGAUGGUUCAUUCAAAUUUCUUCCCUAUCAACUUUCGAUGUUUGGGUAGUGGCCAAACAUGGUUGCAACGGGUAACGGAGGGUUAGGGCUCGACCCCGGAGAAGGAGCCUGAGAAACGGCUACUACAUCCAACGAAGGCAACAGGCGCGCAAAUUACCCAAUCCCGACACGGGGAGGUAGUGACAAUAAAUACUGAUACAGGGCUCUUUUGGGUCUUGUAAUUGGAAUGAGUACAAUUUAAAUCCCUUAACGAGGAACAAUUGGAGGGCAAGUCUGGUGCCAGCAGCCGCGGUAAUUCCAGCUCCAAUAGCGUAUAUUAAAGUUGUUGUGGUUAAAAAGCUCGUAGUUGAACCUUGGGCCUGGCUGGCCGGUCCGCCUCACCGCGUGCACUGGUCCGGCCGGGCCUUUCCCUCUGUGGAACCCCCCAUGCUCUUAACCUGGU